rnacentral:rRNA from 1 species
UACGUAGGUGACGAGCGUUAUCCGGAAUUACUGGGCGUAAAGCGCACGUAGGCGGAUCGAUCAGUCAGGGGUGAAAUCCCAGAGCUCAACUCUGGAACUGCCUUUGAUACUGUCGAUCUGGAGUAUGGAAGAGGUGAGUGGAAUUCCGAGUGUAGAGGUGAAAUUCGUAGAUAUUCGGAGGAACACCAGCGGCGAAGGCGGCUCACUGGUCCAUUACUGACGCUGAGGUGCGAAAGCGUGGGGAGCAAACAGG